CAGCGAUUGUGUUAUCACGCACACUAGCGCAAGCCGCCAAAGUAGUCUAACGUGUUGACUGUCAUUAUGACGUUUUCAAUGUGAAUUGAGUGUUUAUUCAAUCUCAUUUAACUGAAAUUCGACGUAACGUAUUCAAAAUGAAUAUCAAGGCAGCUUUGGCCAUAUGUAUGGUCUUCGUUGGAUGUUGUUCCAACGUAGUUUUUCUUGAAUUGGUUGUGAAAGAAGACCCAGGCGCUGGUAAUUUGGUAACAUUCCUACAAUUCUUAUUCAUCGCAUUUUGCGGUUUUUGCACCGUUGGAAAAUUCGGUACCGCGAAAAGGAACAUACCAUUCAAGCAAUACCUCAUUUUAGUUGGAUUUUUCUGGACAAGCAGCGUGGCUAACAACUAUGCGUUCGAUUUCAACAUAUCUAUGCCUUUACACAUGAUUUUUAGAGCGGGAUCCCUAAUGGCGAACAUGGCAAUGGGUGUAUGGAUAUUGAAGAAGCAAUACCCAGCGUUGAAAUACUUGGCUAUCUUCAUGAUAUCUGCUGGUAUAGCGAUAUGCACUAUACAGUCGAGUGGAGAAGUUAAAGCCCCUAGAGAAACCCAUUCAGAUGCAGAAGAAGAAGCUAGAUUGAAAUUCAUAGAUUGGCUUUGGUGGUGUCUAGGCAUAGCCAUACUGACUUUUGCAUUAUUCGUAUCGGCCCGAAUGGGAAUUUUCCAAGAAUCCCUAUACUCAAAAUAUGGAAAGCAUCCUUGGGAAGCGCUGUACUAUGCUCAUUUAUUACCGUUAGUAAUCUGGCUACCAUCAGCUCCAAAUUUAAUUGGACAUGUAAAAUUAGCCACAGUAACUGCCCCAGUGAAUUUCCUAGGUUUCACAUUGCCUAUUCAAGUAUUAUGGCUGCUUUUAUAUGUAGUUACUCAAGGUCUAUGUAUUAGUUCUGUGUACGUUUUGACGACUGAAUGUGCGUCUCUGACUGUGACUUUAACAGUGACUUUAAGAAAGUUUGUGUCACUUUUGUUUUCAAUAGUUUACUUUAAGAAUCCGUUUACGAUCGGACAUUGGAUUGGGACACUUUUAGUGUUUAUUGGUACUUUGAUAUUUACUGAAUUAUUGCAGAAGUUUGUUGCUCUGUUCUUGCCGACAAAAGUUGAUGAUAAAAAGAAGAAGAAGUAGUUUCUUUUCAAGUUUUUUUAAUUAUUUUUUCUGUAGAAGAAUUCAAUUUCAUUUGUUAUUUAUCUUAAAGCAUUUAAUGGCUAGGAAAAUAUUUUUUCGUACCCGUAUUCAUAAAUCAUAACCAACAAAUAGUUGAAUCUAUCACCUACUUAUACAUAAUUAUAAUAAAAAUCUACUUUAAGACCAGUUCUAGCUUCUAAAAGCCUAAUACAACCUAAUAGAAUGUAAAUAUACUUUUAACGAUAGCUAAUAAAAUAUAUUGUAUAAUUGAAAAAUUAUAUAAAUUCAUAUUCUUCUAGAAUAUCUAGAUCAACCAAUUUUCUUUGUAUAAUCUAAUUUAUCUAUUUUUUAUUGUUAUAUUUAGAGGGCGGAGUACCGGUGGCAAAUUUCACACAAAAGGUAUGGAGUCGUUUUUAUAAUUAUUAUUUUAGGCUUGAAUAAUAAAAUUAUUCAUUUACCUAAUGUACUUAGUAUGGUGCCUACUCGUAAAUUGGAAGUAAGUACUUAACACUAUGCACUAAAAUUCCGAUAGAAGAAAGUUUUCUGGUAAUAGAUAUAGUUAGGACUAUUUUAAGCCUCCAAGGAAGUGAAACCGUGCGAAAUAAACUCGAAUUGGUUCUAGAUAGAAACCCAGAUGCUGACGAAUUAAGGAAUAUGAUUACAAUGGAAAAUUAUAAACAAGUCCUUAAACAUGCAACCAUGACAUCGGUAGAUGUAGAGCGAUCGUUUUCCACUCAUAAAUGGAUCUUCAAUAAAUUAAGAAACCGAUUCACUCCGAAAAACCAGGAACAUGUGGCCAUAGUCCAGUCAUUUUAUAACAUGGAUACGCCCUUAAAUGUAGAUUGUGAGGAGGACCUCGAACACAUAAUUCCAGUCCUCAAUUGUAAUUGAAUGGUCUUGAAAAUAAUAUAUCGUUUGGCAGGUAUAACUUCUUAGUCUAGUAUUUAGUACCUAAUGAUAAUGAUUUGAUAAGAAAACAUAUUAUUAUGUAUUAUAGAUAUUAACAACAUAUUACAUUAUAUUUGUAUGCUCGUAAGAUAAUUUCUAUAAGUUCCUAAGAAAUAUUAUGCAAAAUUAAUCAUUUAUUCGUUAUUUAUUUAAUCAUAAGAAUACUUAGGCGACUCCAUACAUUUAGUGUGAAAUUUGCCACCGGUACUCCGCCCUCUAGUUAUAUUCAUAUCUGCAUUCAUAAAAAUUAAAUGCUGAUUGGUGAUACUUUGCUUAUAUUUAAUAUUAUAGUGAUAGUAAAAUUAAUAAUAUGUGGACAAAUGUAGACAUUAUCAAACUGCACAACGGGACUUAAUCGCGUAUUUAAGUUUUAAGAUUUACCUCCGACGUUUCGAGGACGGCGUUGUCCCCGUGGUCUCGGAGAAGACUGGCUCAAGUUGACAUCAACAUCUUCUAGCCGCGCGAGUUUUUCGAACUACCCGCACUUGGUCUUGUUUAUCAGUUUGAACGUUUUGCAGUUUGAUAAUGUUUAAUAAUCGUGAAAGUUUAAAUAAAUGUAGACAUUUUUUUAAAGGUGCUAUGCUCAAUUUUACACUUAAAAGUGCCAUAAGAAAAAACUCAAAAUACCAUAAAAAACAUGUUGUGUCUCUUUCUACUAAUGCAAAUAUAAAAACAUCAGAAAUAGACGAUCAAAUUUUCACCAUAAUGUUGUAAAAGCAUAAAUAAUUCCUAAUUAAUGUUUCGCUCUGAUAACUUACUACCUACGACUAAUUAAAUAAUGUGAAUCUACUUAUGUAAUAAAUUAAUGAAUAAUAUAAUGACAUUAGCGGCAUAAUAAAGUAUGUAUUGAAAGAUGUUAGAAUAGUUAUAAAACAAUUCUUACAGUAAAAACAAAUUACACUCACGCCAACAUUAUCGGUACAAACUAGCAAAUUCUGGUUAAUUGUCAAUCAAUAUAACAAAGUUGAGGUAGUAAAAUCAGCAAUAACAAAUAAUAUUACCACACUGUUCCGCCCGCUUGUACGAUCGCCCACACUGUUAAUUAACAAUUCGUAAACUUUAUUACAAAAGGCAUAAGGUCCAACGUUGGACAGUUAGGAUUGUUGCUGUUUGUACAAUUGCCAUCUGAUAUAUCGGAGCCGCCAGGUUGCUCCUCUAUUAUCAAGGCAGAGUGCGUGUUCAGAUGUUUUUGAGUACUUCGGCCGCUCCGAUAUAUCUCAAGACGCCUGUACAUGUACAAAGGCCUAAAAAAAUGUGAUAUUCAUUGACCUGUAUACUUAAUGUGACAAUUUAUAACAUGAGGAUAACCCUUGUAAUCAGUUACAGCAAGUUUGUUACGGCACGACAACUUCUUUAAAACCAUCAUAGAAGGCAAGAUAGAAGGAAAGAGAGGCAGGGGCAGACCAAGACGUAGCUAUGUAGACCAAAUAAAAGAAAAAGCUGGUGUCGUGUCGUAUCAAGAGGUCAAAGCUAUGAAUUAUGAGAUUGAGAAAUGGAAAAUACACCACCGACAAGAGGAUACCUCUUAAAUUGAAGAAGAACUCCUGUAAUAGGGUCAAAGUAUUACUAAAAAUCUUCCUUUCUUUUUAAUCACCUCUGUACCAUUGUAAGUAGAUCUUUGACUACCCACAGUUGUCAAAGAUAUCAAGUUCAGGAUUGGUUUGGUGGUAACAAUUCUGGACUCGAAAAUUACUCGAUCGAUAACAAUUGUUCCAUUUAAAAUAAUUACUACUUCGCCAAAAUCAUUGCGAAGUAGACCUUAAGAUAAAUGUUUUAAAAUGGAUUUUAGAGAGAUAGUUUGAGUUUUAUAUCAUUUUUCUACUGAGGUGACCAGUUUGAGCAUUGACACGUAAUAUUAGUAAAUUAGUAGUUGUAAUUUUGUAUUGAACAAAAUUAAACUUUAUUUUAUAAAUAGUAUGGUUGUGUUUUAAAUGUCACGAGUGGAAGAUACGAUAUGUUGGAUCGAAAAUUGUCGUUUUACUAUUUUUUUAUAAGUGCCAGUUUUAACCUGUAUAAUGUGAUUAAAAGUAUUUUUUUACGAAAAUAUACAAAACUAUCUUUUGAUUUGCAAAAUAUACUUACCUAAAGAGGUCUUUAGAUACCGAUUUUAAUGAUUAAUUAUAUAAUAUAGAUAAUACUUAUAAGAAAAAGUAAAAACAAAAUUUUAAAAGUGUUGUGAAAAAUGGUAAAAAAAUAGAAAAGUCAACUAAUAACAAGUUAUUUUUGAAAUUUUGUUCGGAAUUGCUCUAUAUAGUUUAAUUAGUAGCAUUUUCUUUGUUCCGUAGGUACGGUUAGCAAAACCAUUAGCAUAGCACACAUAACUAAUAACUUAGCUGAUUGUACAACUAUCUAUUAAGUACAUGGUAUAAAGAUAAAAAAUUGUUUAUUCAAGUAGGCAUAUUACAAUGCGCUUAUGAACGUCAAAUAAACCUUUACCGGCUCCAACCGUACACCUCUGCCCCGAGAAGAUUUAAAUCCCCCCUCAAUUGGAGGAGGGUAUCCCAAUAUGGGACCGGCAACAAACUCGGCGGGACACAUCUUUUCAAAACAUUAUUACAUCUUAUAAUUAACAUGCAU